rnacentral:misc_RNA from 1 species
GAGUUCAUGCCCGUAAAGGGUAGACCUCCCACCCGUGUAUAUGUCUACUUUGUUGCUUUGGCGGGCCGCCGCAAGGCCCCGGCCGCUCCCGGCCGGGCCGCGCCCGCCAGAGGACCCCCAAACUCGAACUGUGAGUGUCGUCUGAGUACUAUCUAAUAGUUAAAACUUUCAACAACGGAUCUCUUGGUUCU